CUGCUGCCUCCCGUAGGAGUCUGGGCCGUAUCUCAGUCCCAAUGUGGCCGGUCAACCUCUCAGUCCGGCUACUGAUCGUCGCCUAGGUGGGCCGUUACCCCGCCUACUAGCUAAUCAGACGCGAGGCCAUCUUCCAGCGAUAAAUCUUUGAUAUCAAAACCAUGCGGUUUCGAUAUGUCAUGCGGUAUUAGCAGUCGUUUCCAACUGUUGUCCCCCUCUGGAAGGCAGGUUCCUCACGCGUUACUCA
rnacentral:rRNA from 1 species